ACAUCUGGUAGGCACUACAUGGCGCUUGACCCGGGCGUCCAUUCACGCCCGGGUCAUAAUGCUGCGUGGCCGAGAGAUGCCUAAGUAACCGGGAAAGUUUUAGUGAGUUAAUUUUUGUAUUUUUAUAAUUAGUUUAGUGAGUGAGUUAAUUAUUUCAUUUUUUUGUUCGAGUUCAGAGAAUAAUUGAAGAUCCGAAGCAACUUGUUUUACAAUGGUGCCAUUAGACCCUUGGAUGCUCCACUUGAUCAGAUCAGAUGACCGGGCAAUUUAUGAGAAAAUGAUCAAUAAAAAUGUUUUUAGACGUUUCUGGUGUCACACUAUAUCCUUGCCCAAGGGACUUAAGACGCCAAUAUGAUUGCAUUUUUACUAAAGAUGCCCUGCAAUUUCUGGCGGAUAUCAUUGCACAAUUCGAUCACAGAAUUGAAGAA